rnacentral:lncRNA from 10 species
AUGAGGAAACUGAAGCGAAAGAAUGUUGACUAAUUUUGUCAAGGUCACACAACUGCUCUCUUUGGUGACUUCCUGAAGCUUGAAGUAUCUUCCUUGGGAGACGUAUUAUAGAAUUUGAAAUCCCACUGGCCAGAUCUCAGCAUGUAGUUUCAUCCCAACUCUACAGAAGUCUGGAAAAUACAGAGAGAACAUGGUAUAAAAUAAGUUCAACACUGGCAACCAUCUGAUAACCACAGAGAAAUGAGACUGAGGAUAAAACUAAUCUAAAGAGGAUACCAACGAAGCUGUAACCCUCCAGUUACAUAAACCAGUGUCCUGAGGGAGAAGCUGGUGCCCUUUAUCACACAGCUAACAACGCUCCUGGCCCAUGGAUCAGAGAAGUUGAAGGAAAAUACAGAGGAAGUUCUAACAGUGGCAGACCUAAUUACUGCACCAUGCCAAGCAGGUAAUCCAGCAGGAGUGGUGACAGUUUGAGACAAGGACAAGAGCACCAGACUUCAGAACUUGACAUCCACAAAAUGUAAAUAAGAUGAAAGUUCAGCUCUGUCAUUUGACAUAUGAGUUCCGCCCUCUGCCCCUACUCCUAGCAACUCUCUGAGCCUCAGCUCUGCCUUCAGUAAGUCGUUCCUUUCCAUAAUAGGACAGUGGGAAGAUUUUUUGCUCAUAAAGAACAUGACUAUAGCUAUUGAUUUCUGGGAAAUGUUAAAACAACAAGGUUUUCAAUUCCUUUGUUGACAAGUGAAAAUAUUUUCUUUGUUAACUAAUGUUUCAGAACUGGGCUUUCUAUAUUGAAGAAAAAUUAAUGAAGAAAAAUAAAUCAAUUUUACAAAAUGUCCCUGAAAAAUUCUACCCCAAACUGUCCUGAGAUUUGCUAGUCAGCAAGCUUAACAUACAAUUUGAAAAAGAAAUAUGAGGUUGAAUCCCCAAGACAGUAAAAGAGUAGACAUCACGGGAGGACAUUAUUC